UGAAAUGUUGUGAUGAUCAACUUUUUUGUGGACUAGGGUGUCUGAUAACACAACGCAGUGUUUACGACCAAACGGUUGGCUGUCUGAGUUCCUCA
rnacentral:snoRNA from 1 species